rnacentral:lncRNA from 1 species
UUUUCCUCCUGAGGUUACUUACCGAAAUGGUGACGUGAGCCUGGAAUGGCCAGGAGCCACUACAUAGUACCUAAAAUAAACCCACACUGCGGGAGGCAGAACUAAGACAGAGAAAAAUGGAAUUCUGAAGAUAUUAUUAGAGCUGCUAUCAAUCUGGCCCUAGCCCCGAACUUUUCAAUUACAUGGGCCAAUAGAUUUUCUCCUCCCACCCCAUCUUCUUGGCUGAAGCCAGUUUGAAUUAGUUUUUGUCUUUUGCCACCAACACUGAGUUUUGAUAUGGAGACAGAUGAAAAGACAGCAUUCCUGAUCCUGAGGCGGCAGACGUAAACUCAAGUGUGAGAAAUUGUUGGGAAGAUUGAAAGAGCAGACUCGAGGAGGCUGUGCUUCAAGAGCAGCUUUCCAGAACCACACCACAGGACUGGCUGCUUCUGGGCCCCACAGCCAUGAUGCCUCUGCACCAAUCAGGAAGCUGCUGGUUUUAGAAUAACCAAAUGUCUCCACCCGUGUUUGCCAGUAAAAUCAUCUCCCUAUGCAUGGUUUCCUCCUCAUGAGGCUUCAUUUUUCCUUCCAUGUUUUGUGAGGAGUCUGUCAUUACUUUUUGCCAUUAAAAGUAAUGGCAAAAACCGCAAUUACUUUUGCACCAGCCUACCUUCCCAAGAGGGGACCUAGCUGUCUGGGAGUCUGGGAAAUGCAGUUUUUAGCUUUCAAGAUUUU